UGUCUAGGAACUCCUAUCCCUACCUCCUCGUGGUACCGCCUGGAAACUAUGGGCAACCUUAGGAAAGAUCGGGUAACCAACCCCGGUGGGAACUUUGGUCGUAGGCUGACAGGGAAGA
rnacentral:ribozyme from 1 species